UAAAAAGCUUUUUUAAAAGCUCCAUCUUUUUUUCUAGGAUGUUCUGU
rfam:Charadrius vociferus contig46048, whole genome shotgun sequence.